AGAAAUACUGCCCUCAAUGUGCUGACAUCCGGUUGGGCAGUGAGGAAAAGGCAGGGACCAUGACCUGACAUUUGCCUUUGAGGAGCGGGCAGGUAGUGUGUCAGACCAGGUCAGGAUAGACUUCUGUAUACUCCUCUUGGAUACUGCUCCUUACAUAAACUGGAGGGCAGUGCCAUCUGCACCAUGCCUCACCAGCCCAGCCAGCAAUGAUCACCGACAGCUUCCCGAGAGCUGUCUGUCUUUCUCUAACUGACCUUGCUGCAGCUGCCUAGUAACUGGACUGUUAAGAGGCCUCAAGUGUUCUCUGUUUCUUUCACUUUUAUCAUUCCCCUGGCAGACUCUGUCCAAAGGCCCAUCUCCACAUGGAGUAAAUUCUUCAGGUUGUGGGAGUUCUGCCCCGUGUAUUCAUCUUCAACCCUUUACCAAUCACCUCUCACCCCAGGCUUUCUCCAGCCAGCCAGCUGGUUCUUGUCUCUUCCUGAACACAUGUCAUUCGCAGCCUACACCACUGCCUCCCAGCUCUCAAAUAAUUUAUUCCUGUCUUUGUAUUGUAAUUUAUUCUCAGUAUAGAAGAACAUGUGCUGACUGUCCAAAGACAAUCCCUUUUAUAUACGCUUUUAUUCUUUUCUGAAAAGAUAGCUAAGGACACAAUCACACCUGAAGACCCUUCAUUACAGUAGUGAAACUGGUACCAAUAAAUCCUUUGUUUGAUGUUCCUCU
rnacentral:lncRNA from 1 species